UUUACUGGUAAAACUGGUUGAUUAGUUUACUUUCAUUUAUUAAAAAUGUGCAAGUUAAUACAUCUUUUGCUUUCUUUCUGUUGAAGAAAAUGGCUAGCUAGAUUAUGAUAACGACUAUGAUCAUGAGUCUUGUUGCAAUAUAUUGUUUACAGGAGAUGGCAUGCAAGAUUAUAAAAAUGACUUUGAAAUCAGCCUUUUCCCCAUGUAUUUGGGAAUGAUUUCUUCCCAAACCUGAGUACACCUGGUAGCCCUUGUGAAUUGCCCGAGUUGAUGAGGUCUAUGGAACAAUUUUCAGAGAUUGUUUGAAUGACGCGGGUGUUGAAGAAAUCGUGAAAGAAGCGCAACACAGGUGAUUGAAUGUAGUUGAAAUAUGCAAAAUAUUUGAAAACCAUGAAAAGCUUCAAAUACUUGCCUCUCAACCACAACGAAGGCCUCCAAUGGCUCCUUUUUUGUCAUU